AUGAUGCAUGUAAGGCCUUUAUGUACCGGUAAAACAUUCUUUGAUAAUUGAUUGAUUUUACUGAUGCCUGAACAUCAAUUCUGGUCUUCUUCUUUAAUUCAGAAGGCAUUAUCACUGUGUCUGGAAUGGACAGCAAUAGAUGAAUAUGAAUCAUUCUACACACAUACACAAUGGGAACCAAGCACUGCUCAAUAUCCACAGAUAUAAUAAGCCUUCCUGACACUAGCUGCCCCAUUGAGAGACUUUUCAAGGCAGAACUGACCUGGUGUCGUCAUCACAGGAAAUGAGACGGUUUGCAUUUCUGGCAGCAACAACCCGGGCAGUUCUUGCUGUGCCGUAGGCGAGACACCAGCGCUGCACUCAGUACACUUAAUACCUGUCAUCAAAAAUCUGUCAUCAACAUCUACCCUCCAUUCCUUAUUCACUUGCUUUCAUCUUUCAUAUCUUUUCAUAUCUUCUAAUUUAGAUUCUAUUUUCCAUAGAAUAUCAGAUCAGUGUAACAUGAAUGUGAACAAAGGUAUGUGGCUUAUCAUUUAUUUGCAUACUGGAGUAAAACAAUACCAUACCCAAAUCAUUUUAGAACAUGUAAGGGCCUUGUUACCAAUAAGUUACGCUUAUUACAUGGACCUUUAUAUAAAGCAGUAUUAAAGUAUGAAAAUAAAUAAACAACCUGGGUAAGAGGCAUUAGGAGCCCAGAGGACGAGUAGUUUGACAGGCGAAUGAAAGGCGGCUGCCUCCAGAUAGUCAAGCCAUAAUGUCGGGGAGCGUUUGACAAUUGAUCUCUGCAAAGUGCAGCACAAAAACACUCCGGCACCAAAACUGUCUUGUAAUUUCAGUGCAGGUUGCUCGCAAGGAGGCUCUGGUGACAGCGAGGAGUGGCUCUGGACAGAGAGAGAGGACACAGAGAGACAACCUCUCCUGUCAGCCGGGUCAAGAACGUUUAAGGGAAGUUAGGAUGCCGGAGUGACCUGUCCUCCUCCUCUUGUUACAUCAUCCUUGCCGCCUUCUCUUUCCACGAUCCUCCUUUUUUUCCCCACACAUUCCCUCAACAGCACGAAGUGACUGACAGCAAAUGAUGCGUGUUCAUGCUAAUGAUGGCUGCACCCUGGCUACAUGAGCCAGAUUUGACCAAACACACUGAAAUCGCUGCAGACAGCUGCUUCAUCUCAUAAAGCUCCAUCUCUACAGGGUUGUGAAGGGCGUCAUUAACCUGGCGAGGAUGGCACAGCUCACCUCCCUCUUUCAAUCAAACUGUGAUGCAGUUUGUGGAGAUGUGAUCUGGUUUGUCAGCAUCUAGGAGCCAACACUUCCACAUGCUAACAAAGGUCCAUAGGAAUUUUGUUUUUCGAAGCCAUGGAUGGUUUGUAAUUGUGCAGAUUUGACCAAAACAGACCAAAUAUAUAAAGAUCUAAAGAAAUCAGCUUUUCAUAAGCUGCAUUACCACCCACAGUACCCAGAACUUUUAAUCCCAGGGUCUACUUUUAAAGUUCCCUCAGCCCUUUGCUAUCUGCAUUUCCAACACAGUAUAAAGACCCACAAAGAUUGGGCAUAUUUGUCAUUUGGCAGCCGGCCAACUUGUUGUAUGUCUUCUACUGAAACUGCACACUGAUGCGUUGAAGCACAGUGAACCAAAAAACAACCUGGUUUUGCUGAACAUACCAAUCAGACAUGUUCAGCACUGCAAGCCCCACCCUCAAAGUUCCUGUACUUUUAGGGGGAAACAGACAUUAUUGUGUCCGUAUGUUCCCCCUGGUGAGUAAGGCCAGAUAUCACAAACACAUUAUACAUACAGCCAGCAGUAUGCUGAGUCAUUAAAACAACAGCAGUCUUUUUAUUAA